AGCCUACUUAACUUAGUGGUUAGAGUAUCGCUUUCAUACGGCGAGAGUCAUUGGUUCAAAUCCGAUAGUAGGUA
rnacentral:tRNA from 1 species